CGGCCGCGUCGACGAAGAACCUUACCAAAUCUUGACAUCCUCUGACAACUGUAGAGAUACAGCUUCCCUUCGGGGGCAGAGUGACAGGUGGUGCAUGGUUGUCGUCAGCUCGUGUCGUGAGAUGUUGGGUUAAGUCCCGCAACGAGCGCAACCCUUAUUGUUAGUUGCCAUCAUUAAGUUGGGCACUCUAGCGAGACUGCCGGUAAUAAACCGGAGGAAGGUGGGGAUGACGUCAAAUCAUCAUGCCCCUUAUGACCUGGGCUACACACGUGCUACAAUGGCUGGUACAACGAGUCGCAAGUCGGUGACGGCAAGCUAAUCUCUUAAAGCCAGUCUCAGUUCGGAUUGUAGGCUGCAACUCGCCUACAUGAAGUCGGAAUCGCUAGUAAUCGCGGAUCAGCACGCCGCGGUGAAUACCGUUCCCGGGCCUUGUACACACCG
rnacentral:rRNA from 1 species